rnacentral:rRNA from 1 species
CACGUAGGCGGCGAUUUAAGUCAGAGGUGAGAGCCCGGGGCUCAACCCCGGAACUGCCUUUGAGACUGGAUUGCUUGAAUCCUGGAGAGGUGAGUGGAAUUCCGAGUGUAGAGGUAAAAUUCGUAGAUAUUCGGAAGAACACCAGUGGCGAAGGCGGCUCACUGGACAGGUAUUGACGCUGAGGUGCGAAAGCGUGGGGAGCAAACA